rfam:Sphingobacterium sp. 21, complete genome.
GCCUCGGUAGCUCAGUUGGAUAGAGCAACGGUUUUCUAAACCGUGGGUCAGGGGUUCGAAUCCCUUCCGGGGUA